GUGUCAGCCGCCGCGGUAAUACGUAGGGGGCAAGCGUUAUCCGGAUUCAUUGGGCGUAAAGCGCGCGCAGGCGGCUUGUUAAGCGAGAUGUGAAAACCGUGGGCUCAACCCGCGGCCUGCAUCUCGAACUGGCAGGCUUGAGUCUGGUAGAGGGGUGUGGAAUUCCCAGUGUAGCGGUGAAAUGCGCAGAUAUUGGGAGGAACACCAGUGGCGAAGGCGGCACCCUGGGCCACGACUGACGCUGAGGCGCGAAAGCUAGGGGAGCAAACAGGAUUAGAUACCCUGGUAGUCCUAGCUGUAAACGAUGGGCACUAGGUGUGGGGGAUCAUAGACGUCUUCCGUGCCGAAGCUAACGCAUUAAGUGCCCCGCCUGGGGAGUACGGCCGCAAGGCUAAA
rnacentral:rRNA from 1 species